rnacentral:rRNA from 1 species
AUUGAACGCUGGCGGCAGGCCUAACACAUGCAAGUCGAGCGGAUGAAGGGAGCUUGCUCCUGGAUUCAGCGGCGGACGGGUGAGUAAUGCCUAGGAAUCUGCCUGGUAGUGGGGGAUAACGUCCGGAAACGGGCGCUAAUACCGCAUACGUCCUGAGGGAGAAAGUGGGGGAUCUUCGGACCUCACGCUAUCAGAUGAGCCUAGGUCGGAUUAGCUAGUUGGUGGGGUAAAGGCCUACCAAGGCGACGAUCCGUAACUGGUCUGAGAGGAUGAUCAGUCAAACUGGAACUGAGACACGGCCCAGACUCUUACGGGAGGCAGAAGUGGGGAAUAUUGGACAUUGGGCGAAAGCCUGAUCCAGCCAUGCCGCGUGUGUGAAGAAGGUCUUCGGAUUGUAAAGCACUUUAAGUUGGGAGGAAGGGAAGUAAGUUAAUACCUUGCUGUUUUGACGUUACCACAAGAAUAAGCACCGGCUAACUUCGU